rnacentral:lncRNA from 1 species
ACACGGUAAAAGUCGAGUGAUUUCCUAUCACUCGCGAGCUAUAGGAGUUGCCUGAUUUCUUAUGUUGCAACCAUAAGGAUUGACGAGCGGGGCUGGGCUAUAUGUUCUGUUUUGGUGGAUGUUGGAUUGCCCCACCUGUCUAGCGGAAAACUGCUAAGGUUGAGAUGUGUUAGAACAGUGGUCAAGUGUUUGAAAGUACUAAUCUCAUACCUAGUAUGGGAUAGGGAAGUCUAGUACCUGAUUGAACCGGUAUGGACCUUUACCCCUCUCUCUCUAGAACCGAGUUCUCAUGAGGCCUCAUGUGGGUACAAGUGCAGCCUCGGUACGGCGUCGUUCCGGGACCGUUGGGGCAUUGUAUGC